AAUUAGAGUGUUCAAAGCAGGCACAGGAUUCAAUUUUCUGCCACCGAAUACAUUAGCAUGGGAUAAUGGAAUAGGACCCUGUCCUCCUAUUUUCAGUUGGUUUUGGCAGCGCGAGGACUAGGGUAAUGAUUAAUAGGGAUAGUUGGGGGCAUUAAUAUUUAAUUGUCAGAGGUGAAAUUCUUGGAUUUAUGAAAGAUUAACUUCUGCGAAAGCAUCUGCCAAGGAUGUUUUCAUUAAUCAAGAACGAAAGUUAGGGGAUCGAAGACGAUCAGAUACCGUCGUAGUCUUAACCAUAAACGAUGCCGACCAGCGAUUAGGAGACGUUGAAUACAAAACACCACCAUCGGCGCGGUCGUCCUUGGCGUUCGUGUUCACGCACGAGCGCGAGGGCGGUUUAGCCCGAUGGCACCGGUGAAUGACUCCCUAGCACAUU
rnacentral:rRNA from 1 species